rnacentral:rRNA from 1 species
UGUUUCGGCUAGGGGGCCAUCCCGGCUUACCAACCCGAUGCAAACUGCGAAUACCGGAGAAUGUUAUCACGGGAGACACACGGCGGGUGCUAACGUCCGUCGUGAAGAGGGAAACAACCCAGACCGCCAGCUAAGGUCCCAAAGUCAUGGUUAAGUGGGAAACGAUGUGGGAAGGCCCAGACAGCCAGGAUGUUGGCUUAGAAGCAGCCAUCAUUUAAAGAAAGCGUAAUAGCUCACUGGUCGAGUCGGCCUGCGCGGAAGAUGUAACGGGGCUAAACCAUGCACCGAAGCUGCGGCAGCGAACGUAUCACCCAAGACAACUUUACGGAGUUAACGAUUGACGGAGCGAAGCGACGUCAAAGCGUUCAUUAAAGU